rnacentral:rRNA from 1 species
GAUGAACGCUGGCGGCGUGCCUAAUACAUGCAAGUCGAGCGAACAGACGAGGAGCUUGCUCCUCUAACGUUAGCGGCGGACGGGUGAGUAACACGUGGAUAACCUACCUAUAAGACUGGGAUAACUUCGGGAAACCGGAGCUAACACCGGAUAAUAUAUUGAACCGCAUGGUUCAAUAGUGAAAGACGGUUUUGCUGUCACUUAUAGAUGGAUCCGCGCCGCAUUAGCUAGUUGGUAAGGUAACAGCUUACCAAGGCAACGAUGCGUAGCCGACCUGAGAGGGUGAAGGGCCACACUGGAAAGGAGACACGGCCCAGAGUCGUACGGGAGGCAGCAGUAGGGAAUCUUCCGCAAUGGGCGAAAGCCUGACAGAGCAACGCCGCGUGAGUGAUGAAGGUCUUCGGAUCGUAAAACUCUGUUAUUAGGGAAGAACAAAUGUGUAAGUAACUAUGCACGUCUUAACGGUACCUAAUCAGAAAGACACGGCUAACUACGUG